rfam:Gossypium hirsutum cultivar TM-1 unplaced genomic scaffold scaffold290.1, whole genome shotgun sequence
UGAUAAAAUUUUCAUCCAUUUUUUCUGUUAAAAACUAGAGUGGCUGAUAGAAUAACUAGAGAGUUACACGUGACGUGUACCUCAUUCUGACAUACAGAAACCAGUUUUUAAUAGUAAAAAUGGAUGAAAUUUUUGGUC